UACGAAGGGGGCUAGCGUUGCUCGGAAUCACUGGGCGUAAAGCGCACGUAGGCGGCUUUUUAAGUCAGAGGUGAAAGCCCGGAGCUCAACUCCGGAAUUGCCUUUGAAACUGUCAGGCUCGAGUACGGGAGAGGUGAGUGGAAUUCCCAGUGUAGAGGUGAAAUUCGUAGAUAUUGGGAAGAACACCGGUGGCGAAGGCGGCUCACUGGCCCGUUUCUGACGCUCAGGCGCGACAGCGUGGGGAUCAAACAGG
rnacentral:rRNA from 1 species